UACGUAGGGGGCAAGCGUUGUCCGGAUUUAUUGGGCGUAAAGAGCGUGUAGGCGGUCUGGUAGGUCCGUUGUGAAAACUCGAGGCUCAACCUCGAGACGCCGAUGGAAACCCUCAGACUAGAGUCCGGAAGAGGAGAGUGGAAUUCCUGGUGUAGCGGUGAAAUGCGCAGAUAUCGGAAGGAACACCUGUGGCGAAAGCGGCUCACUGGACCAUUACUGACACUGAGGCACGAAAGCUAGGGGAGCAAACAGG
rnacentral:rRNA from 1 species